AUUCUGGCCUUCUGAAGGCAAAAGAAAGGCAUGGUUCAUCACAAACUGUGCCCACAAAAAGGUCACUGAGAUUCACCUUCUCCAUCGCAACAUUCUUCUUUAAAUCUCUCUUGAGUCUUGGAUGUGUUAUCCUGGCCUCCUCAAAUAAUUUCA